UACGUAGGGCGCGAGCGUUGUUCGGAGUUACUGGGCGUAAAGCGUGCGUAGGCGGUGGACCAAGUCUGGUGUGAAAUCUCCCGGCUCAACCGGGAGGGUGCGCCGGAAACUGGUUCGCUGGAGUGCGGGAGAGGCAAGCGGAAUUCCAGGUGUAGCGGUGAAAUGCGUAGAUAUCUGGAGGAACACCCGUGGUGCAGACGGCUUGCUGGACCGUGACUGACGCUGAGGCACGAAAGCGUGGGUAGCAAACAGG
rnacentral:rRNA from 1 species